rnacentral:rRNA from 1 species
GUUGUAUGGUUAAGUGACUAAGCGUACAUGGUGGAUGCCUUGGCAGUCAGAGGCGAUGAAGGACGUACUAACCUGCGAUAAGCCGUGAGCAGUCGGUAAGAGACAUUACGACUCACGGAUUUCCGAAUGGGGAAACCCACUUAGCAUAAGCUAGGUAUCGCUACGUGAAUACAUAGCGUAGCGAGGCGAACCGGGAGAACUGAAACAUCUAAGUACCCCGAGGAAAAGAAAUCAACCGAGAUUCCCUCAGUAGCGGCGAGCGAACGGGGAUUAGCCCUUAAGCAUCUUGG